CGUGAGGGAAAGGUGAAAAGAACCCCGGGAGGGGAGUGAAAGAGAACCUGAAACCAUAUGCCUACAAGAAGUCAGAGCCCGUUAAAGGGUGAUGGCGUGCCUUUUGUAGAAUGAACCGGCGAGUUACUGUAUGGAGCGAGGUUAAGCAGGAUAUGCGGAGCCGAAGCGAAAGCGAGUCUUAAGAGGGCGCGAGUUGCAUGCAGUAGACCCGAAACCGGGUGAUCUAGCCAUGACCAGGUUGAAGUUGGGGUAAAACCCGAUGGAGGACCGAACCGACCCCCGUUGAAACGUUGGCGGAUGAGUUGUGGCUAGGGGUGAAAUUCCAAUCGAACCCGGAGAUAGCUGGUUCUCCCCGAAAUAGCUUUAGGGCUAGCGUCGAGAGAAGAGUUGCGUGAAGGUAGAGCACUGAAUAUGUGAUGGCCCCAUCUCGGGGUACUGAGCAUAAUCAAACUGCGAAUGUCACGCCAACAUGCUCGGCAGUCAGACAGCGGGUGAUAAGGUCCGUUGUCAAGAGGGAAACAGCCCAGACCAUCAGCUAAGGUCCCAAAAUGUAUGCUAAGUGGAAAAGGAUGUGGAGAUGUACAGACAACUAGGAGGUUGGCUCAGAAGCAGCCAUCCUUUAAAGAGUGCGUAACAGCUCACUAGUCGAAUGACUCUGCGCCGAUAAUUUACCGGGGCUAAGCAUACUACCGAAGCUAUGGAUCCCAAGGGAUGGUAGGGGAGCGUUCCAUGAACGGAGAAGUACGACCGAAAGGACGUGUGGAGAUCAUGGAAGAGAGAAUGCCGGUGUGAGUAGCGGAACGUGGGUGAGAAUCCCACGCACCGAAAACCCAAGGUUUCCAGAGGAAGGUUCGUCCGCUCUGGGUAAGUCGGGACCUAAGGCGAGGCCGAAAGGCGUAGUCGAUGGACAACAGGUAGAGAUUCCUGUACCCGUAUAUAUGUGAAGGAAUGACGGAGAGAGGAAGCUGCAGCCAGCGGCUGGAAGAGCUGGUGCAAGCGAGAUAUCGGGAUGGCAGGCAAAUCCACCAUCCGAAACGAGAAGGCGUGAAGCGUACGGAAAGCUACGGCGAGUACGGAAGGCAGUGGAGGAACUUCCAAGAAAAGUUUCUAACGUUAAGUAUAUAUGGCCCGUACCGAAAAUGGACACACAUGGGUGAGGAGAGAAUCCUAAGGUGAGCGAGAGAACUAUAGCUAAGGAACUCUGCAAAAUGACUCCGUAACUUAGGGAGAAGGAGUGCUCAUAGAGAUAUGAGCCGCAGUGAAACGGCCCAAGCGACUGUUUACCAAAAACACAGCUCUCUGCUAAGCCGCAAGGCGAAGUAUAGGGGGUGACGCCUGCCCGGUGCUGGAAGGUUAAGGGGAGGGGUUAACGCAAGUGAAGCCCUGAACUGAAGCCCCAGUAAACGGCGGCCGUAACUAUAACGGUCCUAAGGUAGCGAAAUUCCUUGUCAGGUAAGUUCUGACCCGCACGAAAGGCGUAACGAUUUGGGCGCUGUCUCAGCUGUAGACUCGGUGAAGUCUUAGUACCUGUGAAGAUGCAGGUUACCCGCGACUAGACGGAAAGACCCCAUGGAGCUUCACUGCAGGUUGAUAUUGGGAUUUGAUGCAGCAUGUACAGGAUAGGUAGGAGGCAAAGAGAUGGAUACGCCAGUAUUCAAGGAGCCGCUGUUGGGAUACUACCCCUGUUGUAUUGGAUUUCUAACCGGACGACGUAGAGCCGUUGACGGGACAGUGUCAGUCGGGCAGUUUGACUGGGGCGGUCGCCUCCCAAAGAGUAACGGAGGCGCCCAAAGAUACCCUCAGCUUGGAUGGAAACCAAGCGCAGAGUGCAAAGGCAAAAGGGUGUUUGACUGCGAGACCCACAAGUCGAGCAGGGACGAAAGUCGGGCUUAGUGAUCCGGCGGUGCUGAAUGGAAAGGCCGUCGCUCAACGGAUAAAAGCUACCCUGGGGAUAACAGGCUGAUCUCCCCCAAGAGUCCACAUCGACGGGGAGGUUUGGCACCUCGAUGUCGGCUCAUCGCAUCCUGGAGCUGAAGUCGGUUCCAAGGGUUGGGCUGUUCGCCCAUUAAAGCGGUACGCGAGCUGGGUUCAGAACGUCGUGAGACAGUUCGGUCCCUAUCUGUCGUGGGCGCAGGAAAUUUGAGAAGAGCUGUCCUCAGUACGAGAGGACCGGGAUGGACGCAUCAAUGGUGGACCAGUUGUCACGCCAGUGGCAUAGCUGGGUAGCUAAAUGCGGAAGGGAUAAACGCUGAAGGCAUCUAAGUGUGAAACCCACUUCAAGAUGAGAUUUCCCAUUGCGCAAGCAAGUAAGACCCCUUAAAGACGAUAAGGUAGAUAGGUCAGGAGUGUAAGCAUGGUGACAUGUUAAGCGGACUGAUACUAAUAGGUCGAGGGCUUGACCGA
rnacentral:rRNA from 1 species